rnacentral:lncRNA from 1 species
UUGUGCUUUUGGUUUGACUUGAACGAAAUUGAUUGUGCUUUUGGUUUGUGUGUCUGAAAUUGAUUGAUUAUCGUUUUGGUUUGAAUUGAACCGGAUUGAUGGUGCUUUUGGUUUGUGUGUCUGAACUGAAUUGAUUGUGCUUUGUGUUUGAAUUGAACAGUGUCUCAUGUGCUUUUGGUUUGUGUGUCUUGAUGUUAGGAGUUUUGAGGGCUCCUAAGACAAAUGUUGUAGUAUAGUGAUUGUCGAACCAGUUCUGAGGGAUAUCAAAGCACUGAGAAUGCAAGUACUCACUUAAUCUAAGUGCAACCAAUGAUUUAGAUGGGUUUUAAGCUAUGACUAGAACUAAAA